rnacentral:misc_RNA from 1 species
AACGCAUAUUGCGCCCGAAGCUCCGGCUUAGGGCAUGCCUGCCUCAGCGUCUUGGUUACGCUCCAUAUGGGAGCUGAUCUUGGUGAUCAAACAUGAUUAUUCAAGCGAAUCUGGCAUUCCCAUGGCCCUGUUGCCUUGGGUAUGUUGAAACGAAGGGCAUGAGCAAGGAACACAUACGCGUCAACUGGACAGGUUCGCAUCUAAUGCGUGACACGAAGUUGGGGCGUGGGCUUUGUGAGUGCCGUGCAGGAAGCCAUCAGUAUGGCGACGCAAACAUUCGACCUGAGCUCAGGCAAGACUACCCGCUGAACUUAA